AUUGAACGCUGGCGGCAUGCUUUACACAUGCAAGUCGAACGGUAACAGGCCGCAAGGUGCUGACGAGUGGCGAACGGGUGAGUAAUGCAUCGGAACGUGCCCAGUCGUGGGGGAUAACGCAGCGAAAGCUGCGCUAAUACCGCAUACGAUCUAUGGAUGAAAGCGGGGGACCGUAAGGCCUCGCGCGAUUGGAGCGGCCGAUGUCAGAUUAGGUAGUUGGUGGGGUAAAGGCCUACCAAGCCAACGAUCUGUAGCUGGUCUGAGAGGACGACCAGCCACACUGGGACGGAGACACGGCCCAGACUCCUACGGGAGGCAGCAGUGGGGAAUUUUGGACAAUGGGCGCAAGCCUGAUCCAGCAAUGCCGCGUGCAGGAAGAAGGCCUUCGGGUUGUAAACUGCUUUUGUACGGAACGAAACGGUCCGGGUUAAUACCCUGGGCUAAUGACGGUACCGUAAGAAUAAGGAUCGGCUAACUCCGUGCCAGCAGCCGCCGUAAAAC
rnacentral:rRNA from 1 species